AAUGCCAUCUGCCUCCUUGUUUUGGGCUGGGGUCUUUGUCAAGGAGGUCUCCCCACACAGACAGACAUGGAGUCCCUGCCAGUCCUCCUUUACCUGCUGGCCGCUUUCCAUGGUGUCCAAGCAAAGGACCACCUUGUGCAAUGGGGAGAGGGGAUGGUGGUACACUCGCAGAAGCUCAGCCUCUUCUGUGCCACCUACACACGUUCAAUUUCGAGAUACGGAGUGUCAUGGAUCCGCCAUAGCCCAGAAAAGGGGCUGGAGUGGAUUGGUAUAAUCUGGGGUGAUGGAAGCACCAACUACAACCCCAAUCUCCAGUCUCGGGUGAGCAUCUCUAGGGACACAGGAAAGAACCAAGUGUUCUUACAGCUGAGCACCAUGACUGCUGAGGACGCAGGCAUGUAUUACUGUGCCCAAGACACUGUGGUCCAGAUGCACUGGGAACACAGACAUAAACCUUCUCUGCAGGGAACAGGAGGAGCUCAGCUGCAGAGGGUGCUCAGGAACCACCAAGCAAGAAUCCAACCACAAGGGAAGUUAUAUGGGGCACUGAGGAGGGUCUUCCUCUGUGGUCAGGGAAUUCCUUUGCUCUCUUAG